rnacentral:rRNA from 1 species
AUUGAACGCUGGCGGAAUGCUUUACACAUGCAAGUCGAACGGCAGCAUAAGUGCGUGCACCUGAUGGCGAGUGGCGAACGGGUGAGUAAUACAUCGGAACGUGCCCAGUCGUGGGGGAUAACGUAGCGAAAGUUACGCUAAUACCGCAUACGAUCUAAGGAUGAAAGCGGGGGACCGUAAGGCCUCGCGCGAUUGGAGCGGCCGAUGUCAGAUGAGGUAGUUGGUGAGGUAAAGGCUCACCAAGCCGACGAUCUGUAGCUGGUCUGAGAGGACGACCAGCCACCCUGGGACUGAGACACGGCCCAGACUCCUACGGGAGGCAGCAGUGGGGAAUUUUGGACAAUGGACGCAAGUCUGAUCCAGCCAUUCCGCGUGCAGGACGAAGGCCUUCGGGUUGUAAACUGCUUUUGUACGGAACGAAAAAGCUCUUACUAAUACUAGGAGUCCAUGACGGUACCGUAAGAAUAAGCACCGGCUAACUACGUGCCAGCCGCCGCGGUAA